ACUGGCCUAUGAUGAUUGCAGAAUUAUUGCCUACAUUGUUUGAGUACUUCAUUGUGAUAAGUGUUUGCUUUGCAACUCUUCUGAGGCCAGU